rnacentral:piRNA from 1 species
UAUGCAUAUUUUUAAUGUUUC